rnacentral:rRNA from 1 species
UGGGGAAUUUUGGACAAUGGGGGAAACCCUGAUCCAGCCAUCCCGCGUGUGCGAUGAAGGCCUUCGGGUUGUAAAGCACUUUUGGCAGGAAAGAAACGUCAUGGGUUAAUACCCCGUGAAACUGACGGUACCUGCAGAAUAAGCACCGGCUAACUACGUGCCAGCAGCCGCGGUAAUACGUAGGGUGCAAGCGUUAAUCGGAAUUACUGGGCGUAAAGCGUGCGCAGGCGGUUCGGAAAGAAAGAUGUGAAAUCCCAGAGCUCAACUUUGGAACUGCAUUUUUAACUACCGGGCUAGAGUGUGUCUGAGGGAGGUGGAAUUCCGCGUGUAGCAGUGAAAUGCGUAGAUAUGCGGAGGAACACCGAUGGCGAAGGCAGCCUCCUGGGAUAACACUGACGCUCAUGCACGAAAGCGUGGGGAGCAAACAGG